CCUACGGGUGGCUGCAGUGGGGAAUAUUGGGCAAUGGGCGCAAGCCUGACCCAGCAACGCCGCGUGAAGGAAGAAGGCUUUCGGGUUGUAAACUUCUUUUGUCAGGGACGAAGCAAGUGACGGUACCUGACUAAUAAGCCACGGCUAACUACGUGCCAGCAGCCGCGGUAAUACGUAGGUGGCAAGCGUUAUCCGGAUUUACUGGGUUUAAAGGGCGUGUAGGCGGGACUGUAAGUCAGAUGUGAAAAGCACGGGCUCAACCUGUGGCCUGCAGUUGAAACUGUAGUUCUUGAGUACUGGGGAGGCAGACGGAAUUCGUAGUGUAGCGGUGAAAUGCGUAGAUAUUAGGAGGAACACCAGUGGCGAAGGCGGUCUGCUGGACAGCAACUGACGCUGAGGCGCGAAAGCGUGGGGAGCAAACAGGAUUAGAUACCCGAGUAGUC
rnacentral:rRNA from 1 species